AGGAGACCCGUUGAUGAUGAAUGUCAGUUGUUACUUUUGCAUUCUUCUUUAUGGCCCACUUGGAUGAAUAAGCUCAUUCAAAGUUAUGCUGACGACAAACAAGCACUAGAUUAUAUUGCUCAUCUAUCCAUUGAUAGCAAAGCACAUCCUGGGUUUUCUCUCAAUAAUAGUCUAUUAUUUCACAAAGAUAGAUUGUAUGUGGGAAGUAGUGGUUAUUUAAGAGA
rnacentral:misc_RNA from 1 species